rnacentral:rRNA from 1 species
UACGUAGGGUGCAAGCGUUAAUCGGAAUUACUGGGCGUAAAGCGUGCGCAGGCGGUUGUGUAAGACAGAUGUGAAAUCCCCGGGCUCAACCUGGGAACUGCAUUUGUGACUGCACAGCUGGAGUGCGGCAGAGGGGGAUGGAAUUCCGCGUGUAGCAGUGAAAUGCGUAGAUAUGCGGAGGAACACCGGUGGCGAAGGCGGCGUCCUGGACCAACACUGACACUGAGGAGCGAAAGCCAGGGGAGCAAACGGG